UAAAUGAAAACACAAUUGAUAGAAAAAGAGAGGAGAGCAAAACAAAGUGAUUUUUUACAACGACAACGAAAACUACAUCCUGUUAACAUGGCUAGUUCACAAGUGCUUUUAGAGAGUUCACAAGCACAAAGUUUUUCACAACCACAAAGAUUUGGACCUGACUUACAGGAAGAAUACGAGAAUCAUAUGAGUUCAAAUGAAUGCAAUUUGGAACAUCAUGUAGAUGAUGAAGCCGAGUUUAGUGAUGGAUUGCAUAUUCUUAACGGCGAGAUACCGGUAUGCAAGAUGAACAACAAAUGGAUCAAGAGCACGAAAGUGAGAAAAUAGCACUUUCAAAAAGGAAGCGAACCAGAGGACCAACUAUGUGUAAAGAUGUCCAUGAAUGGACAUUAGAAGAGCGUAAGCCUAUCGUUCUUAAUGAAAUGGGAAAACCUAUUGGCCCGAUGAUAAGACUGUAGAUAAAUUCACAAGAUUCUUAUGGACUUUAGCUCGUAAUUCUUCUCUUGCACCGUUGAACAAGAUUAGUAGGCUUCAUGUUCAAGACAAGGAACAAAUUUGGAGUUACGUGAAGAAGAAAUACAUCAUCCCUGAAGAAGGUAAAGACUAUGCUUUGUCAUCAGUGGAAAAACUUUGGCGUAAAUAUAAAUGUAGUGUAAAGGCAAAGCACUUUACUCCGUACGACAAUGAUGGUGAUAGGUUGGCAGAUCCCCCCGAUACAGUUCCAGAGGAGCAUUUCAAAGACUUGCUAGAAUUUUAGAAGUUGGAAUCAGUCCAGCAUGCAGGAAGACAACAAAAAAAAGGGAGAUAAGUAUAGAUCAAAAAGAUAGGCACACUAUGGGUCCUAUGACUUUCGCUAGGAAACAACAUAAAUUGAUGUUGAAAAUAAGCCACCAUCCCUAGCACUCGUGUACAAAGAAAGUCGUAAAAGGAAAGCAGGCAAAACAUACAAAACAUCUUAUGAGCCCACCCAAAGUAACAUUGACAAGAUAGAGGAGGUCCAAAUGCAAAGUGAAAUUGGUGGAGAUGUUGCAUACUAUGAAGUAAUGGAUAAACCAAAUAACUUAGGACAUAAAAAAAAGCAACUGGGGAUAUAUUCAAUAAGGGGAAAGAGCAGCAAACCAAUAAUUCCUGAUGAGUUCUUAAAGCCUUAUAAAGACCAAAUUGUGAAAGAUAAUGUAGCAGAAUUAUUGAAGACGCUCAAUCAAAUUGAUCCUAGAGUGUUGGAUACUUUGACUCGAUCACUUGAAAAUGUGUCAUCUAAUCCAGAACAUGUACACUCUAUUGAACAAGAGCAAAAUGAGGAUCAAAUGGGUCAAAAUGAAAGAUUGGAGUAGCAAGUAAUGUUGCCACAAGAUAAACAAUUACUUUUUCCCGGGACCGAAAAGUGUGGAGUUGUCUGUUGUUACUGCUGCUGUCAAUGUUUCUGUUGCUCGCUAUCAAUGUUGCUGUCAAUGUUACGCUAUUGUUGUUGCUGCUGUUAUGCUGUUACGUUAUUGCUGCUGUUGCUGUUAUGUUGUUACGUUAUUGCUGCUGCUGCUGUUACGUCGCUGCUGCUGCUGCUGCUGUUACUGUCGUCGUUGCUGCUGCUGCUGUUACUGUCGUCGUUGCUGCUGCUGCUGCUGCUGCUGUCACUGUUGUCGUUGCUGCUGCUGCUGCUGUUACUGUUACGGUUGUCGUUGCUGCUGCUGUUACGAUUGUCGUUGUUGUUGUUACGUUGUCGCUGCUGCUGUUACGGUUGUUGUUGUCGUUGAUGUCAUAUCUUCGUCUGUUACUGCUGUCUUAUGCUACUGCGUUAAUGUUAUUUGCCUUUUCCUGUUUUGGAAUUUGGUGGUCUAGAAAUAGAACUUGACCGAAGUUGACUUUCUUUUUUGUUUUGAUUAUUAGAUUGUUUAGCAAAACAAAAAAAAUUGGUGUAUGUGGAUGUUUUUUUUAACAAAUUUUAUAUGAGAUCAUAUCAAUUCAAAAAUUGGUGCAUGCAAUGUUAAUAUUGUUUUUAUAUUUUAAAAAGUAAAAAAAUGUACGUUGCCUCACUAGUACAAAAGUGUUCUUAGGUAACACCAAAUUUUAACACUUUUAAAGUUGUAAAAUUAUUCAAUAUAUAAGUAGCACUUUGGUAACACUUUAAUUUUAGGUAACACUUAUUUGUAACACUUAAUAUUAGGUAACACUAAUUUGUAACGCUUUAAUAAACAGUAACACUAAUUUGUAACACUUAAAAAUUUCAUACAGAGUAUCAAAUUAAUUCACUAAAAUUUGUUGACCACUGUUUUUUACUCGUUGAGUUUUAUGUACAGCAAGAAAUUAGGGAAGCUUGGACUAAACCCAACUAAAUUAGUAUUAGCUUCCCUUAUAAAAAAAAUUAAAAAAAUAUUUAAAAAAUGGAAAAUUGCCUCGAAACAUAAUAGACAUCUCCGUCCUCCGUCCUCUGUCCUCCGUCCUCCACCUCUCAUCUCUUUGUUUCUUCCAUCUUUUGUCCUCCAUCUUCCAUUCAUACAAAAAUUUCUUCACCCCUACAACGACAGUCGUCGGCCAUCAUAGUGUAAUUAUAUUGAGAUUAACUAAAUCCAACAUAUUGCAUUGAUGUCUCUCAUACUCUUACAAAAUAUAAGGGCUUUGAUUUUCUCUUUUCAAACCCUAAAUUAUGUAAGUUCAAUCAUCUCGCAAUUCUUAUUUCACUAAUUUAAGCUUUCCGAAGUUUGAUUUCUUCACAAUUGUAAUGAGCGCUUCUAAUUUCAUGGUCUUAAUCGUGGGCUUGAUCGGGUUUUAUCAAAUUUCCAGGCUUCAAAUUUCAGGUUUUAGGAGAAAAUGGAAGGAUUUCCCCCAAAAGCUUUUGCAGAAAUGGCGUGUUUUCUCUAAAUAGAGAUAAGAACACCGUAUGUGUAUAGUAUGUGUGAAAAAGCUAAUUGUGUUCCUUGAAAAGCUGGUUGCCAAAGUCGAAAGGAGGUUAAGAUGUCAGAUUAUUAAAGACCAGGGCAAAAGAGGAUAGAAGAUAAUAGAUAAAAAAUGAAGGAAUUGGAGCGGGGGUUGAAUUAAUGAGUUACCAAGUAAGUAAAAUGGUGAAUAGCUCAUAACAAAUGAAGAGGAGUAUGAUGCAAUCGCAGAAGGUGGUAAAAGAUAGUGACGAGUACAUACCUGGUGUAGAGGGUGAACUAAAUCACUCAAGUGAAGUGGAUACCAAUGAGAUGAGGACAAGGAGUGUAAACUUGAGUUCUGGCUCUAAUAAGGUUUCGGCAAUGAGAGGGAGAAGUCCCACUAAGAUGAAAGAGACUUUAGAAGGAUAAGAUUACUAUUAGCAGUAUUUAUAAUGUUUUCAACUUGUCUACUCUUCUUUGGUUGUCAUGGAUGUAUAGUCGAAAGAAGGCAGGUGAUGCAUCUAAACAAGAAGGAAAUGACUAGUCCAGGACCGAUGAUAAGUCUUGCAUAUAGGAAGGGAAGAAGAACAAAAUUGCAAGAUAGAUACGCGGACAACAAAUCUGAGCUGAAGAAAAUGACAUAUCUGAAGAUGUCUCUAAACAUUGUAGUUAAUAUUGCACAUUCAUUUUUUUAGGGAUCAAGAAGUUUUGGUGUUGCGGUUGUUGUUCUGUACUAUUCGAAUUCGGGCAUUGGAGUGGUGUGGGUGUUACUUUGGUAAUAUUGGUGGCUUUUGCUUCUAAGGAGGUUAUGCAGACUGGUACAGUUGAUGUGUAGUGUCAGGUGGCAGCAGUUGUGAGGUGUUCAGUUAAUUAGUCGGUACGUGCAGGCAGUUCAGUUGGAUGUUGUGUUGUGCAGCGUUUAGCAGCUGGUUGUAGGUUCUGCUUUUUUAUGUUGUGUUGUUUGGUUCUGUAGUUUCAACUAAGGGUUGAUUCCUUGUAGCUUCUAUUUGUGUUUGUUUGUUAGGGAGCGGGUUGUGCUCCCUUCCUUUAGUUGGUUUUGUUAUUUUCUUGUUUGUAACUCAUUUUUUCUCCUACUAAUUUUGGUAAUAAAAUCGAUGUUUUACCCAAAAAAUUAAAUUAUAGUAUUCUAUAAAUAUUAUUAUUAUUGGUGAA